UACGAAGGGGGCUAGCGUUGCUCGGAAUCACUGGGCGUAAAGCGCACGUAGGCGGCUUUUUAAGUCAGGGGUGAAAUCCUGGAGCUCAACUCCAGAACUGCCUUUGAUACUGAGAAGCUUGAGUCCGGGAGAGGUGAGUGGAACUGCGAGUGUAGAGAUGAAAUUCGUAGAUAUUCGCAAGAACACCAGUGGCGAAGGCGGCUCACUGGCCCGGUACUGACGCUGAGAUGCGAAAGCGUGGGGAGCAAACAGG
rnacentral:rRNA from 1 species